GAUGAACGCUGGCGGCGUGCCUAAUACAUGCAAGUCGAGCGAACAGACGAGGAGCUUGCUCCUCUGACGUUAGCGGCGGACGGGUGAGUAACACGUGGAUAACCUACCUAUAAGACUGGGAUAACUUCGGGAAACCGGAGCUAAUACCGGAUAAUAUAUUGAACCGCAUGGUUCAAUAGUGAAAGACGGUUUUGCUGUCACUUAUAGAUGGAUCCGCGCCGCAUUAGCUGGUUGGUAAGGUAACGGCUUACCAAGGCGACGAUGCGUAGCCGACCUGAGAGGGUGAUCGGCCACACUGGAACUGGGCCACGGUCCAGGCUCCUACGGGAGGCAGCAGUAGGGAAUCUUCCGCAAUGGGCGGAAGCCUGACGGAGCAACGCCGCGUGAGUGAUGAAGGUCUUCGGAUCGUAAAACUCUGUUAUUAGGGAAGAACAAAUGUGUAAGUAACUAUGCACGUCUUGACGGUACCUAAUCAGAAAGCCACGGCUAACUACGUG
rnacentral:rRNA from 1 species